rnacentral:rRNA from 1 species
AAUACGUUCCCGGGCCUUGUACACACCGCCCGUCACACCACGAAAGUCGGUAACACCCGAAGCCGGUGGCCCAACCUUUUAGGAGGGAGCCGUCGAAGGUGGGAUUGGUGAUUGGGGUG